rnacentral:rRNA from 1 species
CCUACGGGGGGCAGCAGUGGGGGAUAUUGCACAAUGGGGGAAACCCUGAUGCAGCGACGCCGCGUGGGCGAAGAAGUAUUUCGGUAUGUAAAGCCCUAUCAGCAGGGAAGAAGAAAUGACGGUACCUGCGUAAGAAGCACCGGCUAAAUACGUGCCAGCAGCCGCGGUAAUACGUAUGGUGCAAGCGUUAUCCGGAUUUACUGGGUGUAAAGGGAGCGCAGGCGGCACGGCAAGCCUGAUGUGAAAGCCCGGGGCUCAACCGCGGGACUGCAUUGGGAACUACCGGGCUGGAGUGUCGGAGAGGGAGGCAGAAUUCCUGGUGUAGCGGUGAAAUGCGUAGAGAUCAGGAGGAACACCAGUGGCGAAGGCGGCCUACUGGACGGUGACUGACGCUGAGGCUCGAAAGCGUGGGGAGCAAACAGGAUUAGAUACCCUGGUAGUC